CAAGAACAGAAAAAAACAAUUCGAUCAUGGAUUACAAAAAAUUCAAUCAUGGGUUACAAAAAAAAAAACACAAAAAAUUCGAUCAUGGAUUACAAGUAAAAAAACAAACAUUUCGAUCAUGGAUUACAAAAAAGUCGAUCAUGGAUUACAGAAAAUUCUAUCAUGGAUUACAAAAAAUUCGAUCAUGGAUUACAUAAAAUU
rnacentral:lncRNA from 1 species